UGGUAUUAUUUUAUUUUUUUCCUUACAGCAAUGUCAUCAUCUUUUGGGUCCUUUCUUUGUGUACUCGAUUGAGCAUGUGUGUUAUAGGCCAAUUAUCACUUCCACCAUAUGAAGUUUCAGAUUGCUCUCUCAUGGAAAUCACCUAGAAAGUUAGCUACAUUUGAUGUGACUUCUGGAAUAUUUUCCUUUUAUAGGUUUUGUUGUUUUGAUGUUGGCUGAAGAUUUAGCUACCCAUGUUGUGGAUGUAACUCCUCUGAUCCAUUAUUCAGAGAUUAUUCUCUUUUUUCGUUUUGUCAAAUGCAGAAUAAGGUUGCGAAUGGCGAAGCAUCUCUAAUCUUAUUGUCUACAGGAAAUGCUAGCAGGAGAGUUGCUUGCUUGAACAAGUGUUAUGAUGUAGUUUACAUUUUUUGUCAUUGUCUUUGUGUAUGUUUGUCUCUCCAUCUCACUUUAUGUGCGUGUGUGUGUAGAUGUAAUUGGUGACAUCUCUCCAAAGCCCUAUUAGGGUUACAGAUCUAAUUGGUCAUGUCUUUGAUUGUCUUAACUGAUUAGUUGCUCAGAAAUUGGGGACGGAAGAUGAGGAUAAAGAAUCAGUCUCAGUUUUUUUGGGUUUUGAGGGUAGUUAACACUAUAGAUCAUGCCGCUUGAUGAAGAGAGUUCUUGAUGUAAAGGCUCCACAGCCUGGGGCUUGAUAGAGUUGCUUCACUGAGUUUCACUCAGUUUUGGUUGCAUCACUUGGCUUUUCGAGUUUUGAACCUCUGUAUUUUUUUUUGGUUAUGCUCAAUGCCUACCUAGCUACCAAAUUUCUUCAUUUGUAUCGUGUUUGUUGUGGGAAUGUCUCAUUGGAUUUCCUUCUUCUCUAUGGGUCAAGUUUUGUGCGUGGUGGUGUUUAUGGGGUUGUAUUCUUGGUGAAUUUUAUUUUGAUUUUCAAAUUUUCUUUUCAGGAACUAAUUAGCGAAUUGUGUGACUCGAAUCACUCAAGAUUUCAGGAACUAAUUUACGAAUGGUGUGACCAGAAAUCACUCUAGUUUGAUAACCUACCGUAGACGGGGAUGCGCACUAAUGGAUGUCGGCGAUCCUUCCCAAAUCGACGGGUCCAACGGCAUGGGUUUUGAAAGUUGGGACGAGGGUUCGAGUUGGGGUUUGUUUUGAAGUCCAAUUGAAGAGUUUUGUAUCUGAAGCUGAUGGGCAAAUUAAUCUAUUUCAUUCUGGGCAGAGCAAUCACUAAGGUGCUUUCCAAGAGCCAAGGGGUUUCUAGGGAGUCAUAUUGCGUGAAUGUAGGAAAGCCACAACAAUAUCAUAUUGUCGAUUCUAAAGUAUCUAUUUCGAUUGUCUCAGGCGAUGGGAUCGGUUUUUUUUCUUGAU